GACGCAGCGACGCCGCGUGGGUGACGAAGGCCUUCGGGUUGUAAAGCCCUGUGGGGUAGAACGAACUGGCAUCGGGCUAAUAUCCCGGUGUCUUGACGGUACUGCCUUAGCAAGCAUCGGCUAACUCUGUGCCAGCAGCCGCGGUAAGACAGAGGAUGCGAACGUUGCUCGGAUUUACUGGGCGUAAAGCGCGUGUAGGCGGUCUCGUUAGUCGGGUGUGAAAGCCCCGGGCUCAACCCGGGGAAGUGCACCCGAUACUGCGAGACUGGGGUACUGAAGAGGAGAGCGGAAUUCCCGGUGUAGAGGUGAAAUUCGUAGAUAUCGGGAGGAACACCAGUGGCGAAGGCGGCUCUCUGGGCAGAUACCGACGCUGAGACGCGAAAGCGUGGGGAGCAAACAGGAUUAGAUACCCUGGUAGUCCACGCUGUAAACGAUGACGACUGGGUGUUGCAGGUAUUGACCCCUGCGGUGCCGAAGCCAACGCGUUAAGUCGUCCGCCUGGGAAGUACGGCCGCAAGGCUAAAACUCAAAGGAAUUGACGGGGG
rnacentral:rRNA from 1 species